CUGGCGGCGUGCCUAAUACAUGCAAGUCGAACGCACUGACGUCGACCGAAGCUGCUUGCAGUGGACGUUGAUUGACGUGAGUGGCGGACGGGUGAGUAACACGUGGGUAACCUACCCUUAAGUGGGGGAUAACAUUUGGAAACAGAUGCUAAUACCGCAUAACCAUUCAGACCACAUGGUCUGAAUGUAAAAGACGGCCUUUGGCUGUCACUUUUGGACGGACCCGCGGCGUAUUAGUUAGUUGGUAAGGUAACGGCUUACCAAGACAAUGAUACGUAGCCGACCUGAGAGGGUAAUCGGCCACAUUGGGACUGAGACACGGCCCAAACUCCUACGGGAGGCAGCAGUAGGGAAUCUUCCACAAUGGACGAAAGUCUGAUGGAGCAACGCCGCGUGAGUGAAGAAGGUUUUAGGAUCGUAAAACUCUGUUGUUGGAGAAGAACAGGGACUAGAGUAACUGUUAGUCCUUUGACGGUAUCCAACCAGAAAGCCACGGCUAACUACGUGCCAGCAGCCGCGGUAAUACGUAGGUGGCAAGCGUUGUCCGGAUUUAUUGGGCGUAAAGCGAGCGCAGGCGGUUUUUUAAGUCUGAUGUGAAAGCCUUCGGCUUAACCGAAGAAGUGCAUUAGAAACUGGGAAACUUGAGUGCAGAAGAGGACAGUGGAACUCCAUGUGUAGCGGUGAAAU
rnacentral:rRNA from 1 species